CCUCCCGCUGGAGUGGCCCAGCAGCUCAAGUGUGUUGUUUCUCUGGGGAGCAGUUGAACAGAAUCUCUAUCUGUAUGAGAUAAACAUGUUGGAGAACUCAGGGCAACAGGUUGCAUCUGAGGGUUCUGUCCCAUGGGUGCCUCAGUUGUACGUCAGGCAAAACCCGUUCACAGCCCUGUCAGCUGCAACAGCCUUGGCAUGGCAUAAGCCAUAGGAAACCAGAGGUGAUCCCAGUGCCUGCACAGGUAAUAGACUGCCCUGAGGGAGAGCUUAAGAAAAUCCUAUUCCAAUCCUCCUUGCCUUGCCUGCAUUGGGAAAUAAGACUUAAAGAGGUAAAUAGCCAGACAAGUAACCCAGAUUUGUUGCAACACUUGUUGAAUAUAUCUUGAGGUUUAGCAGUUUAAAGUCUAUAUUUAAGAGGAUAAUAUGUGGUAAUAUCCAAAAAUUGAACUUUUUUCGUAACUUCUUAUUUUUCUCUUUCACCACCUACCUUCCCACCACAUAUUGAUGGUGGAAAGCCUUCCGCACAAGCUGUCAUCAUGAGGAGCUGGAUGAGGGCAAUUAGUGAAAAUCUUGGAUUUCAGCCUCAGAAUGGACUUUUGCAAAUUGGUGAGAGAUAGAAAAUAUGAAUGCUAAAACUAUUUUAUUUGCUUCAAUUGUGUCUUGCUGACAGAAAAGGAUAGUUUUUGAAAUUUCAGAAGUUGAGUUUCAUAAACAGAAACUUAAACUAGAAGACAUAGGUUAUAGAAUUUACCUCAUAGAACGCUGAAAUAACACAGAAUGAUGUGUGAUUUCUUUCCCCAAAAUGUAAGAGUUUGAGGACAGUGGGCAGACUUCAAGAAUGGGAGAAUUAAUGGAAGAUAGUGGAGGUCAACUAUGGCCCAAUAACCUGCUCUUUGACUUACAUUAGGUACAGUUGUGGAUGACAGUGACUGUUGGGGGUUGGUGAUAUAAACUCAGAAAGGAGCCCAAAUGUCUUUCUUAUGAAGAAUCACAGAGGAGAAAGUAUCACUCCCUGGCUCCAUGGGUUGAGCCUGCACCACUGCAAGUUUCAAGGAAAAGUAGUUCAUCAAGAAUGAUCUUUUAGUUCUGCAAUCAUCAAAUGUUUAUUGAAGUUCCUGUGCAAAUAGACCUGAGGUUAUGUGACUUAGUCACAGUCAAACUAAAAUAACCCAGCAGAUGCCAUGUGGUUGGGUUUGAGAACACAAAUCAUGCAGUGACAUGCGAACCUGAAGUCCCAGUAGAGUCUACAUCAACUGGGGAGCAGUGGCAAUGAUGACCAAUAUAUCCAUGAUUUAGACGUGUAUUAUGAAUGGUCUGCGCAGAAUUUAUCAACAACAAAAACUCCAUGAAUCCUCUGUAUGGGGAGUUUCUGUCUUUCUAGACCAGCACCCAUAGACUGCACGUGUCAUCAAACCACAGCCAAUGUUCCAUGGAGAACACUAUCUAUCUGUGAGUUGAGGCUGCAUUGUGCAACCAAAGAGGCACAGCCAGAUUCUCCUUUCACAGAUGAGUUUCUCUGCCUGUGCCAAAGCAGAACUUGGGUCCAAAUGCCAACCUGGCAAAUAUGGCAGGGGAACAAAAAGUCAGGCCAUGAUGCGGCAUGUUAAAAUACUGAAGACAAAGGAUCCGGUGGGAAUAUUUUGAUGACCCAGACUCCACUCUCUCUGCCCGUCACCAAUGGAGAGCCGGCCUCCAUCUCCUGCAGGUCUAGUCAGAACCUUUUACAUGGUAAUGGAUACACCUAUUUGUAUUAGUUCCUGCAGAAGCCAGGCCACUCUCCACAGCUCCUGAUCUGUAGGACUUCCAAUCAGUUUUCUGCCUUCCCACACAGGUUCUUCCCAAUGGGAGAAGAGAGUAGACCAGUCAUCCCCAGAUAUAUCACAGGACUAGUUUCAACCUUUGGAAGCUGGUCUAUAUCCUACGGUUAAAUAGACAUUUGUGAUACGACCUGAAAUACAUUUGGACAAGAACUUCACUAACAGUUGAGUCACUGAAGACUUAUGGCCCUGUGUGAUGCACCACAUAACCGUGAGUUUGCAGUGGUUGCAGGUCAGGGACAGAUUUCAUGCUUAAGAUCAGUAGGGUGGAGGCUGAGGAUCUUGGCUAUUACAACUGCCACCACACUCUACAAUAUCCUCCCACAAUGGUUCAGCACCAAACAAAAGCCUCCUGCUUGGAUUGUCCCAGCUGCCCAAAUUAGUUCCUUCACUGAGGAGUAGACAGGGUAUAUUCUCUAAAUCUAUGUAAGAGGAAGAUGUUGGUGAACUCAGGGAGUUAGUAUGAAGCUACACCUCAGGCAUCACACAUAAGAUCACUUCAGCAGCCACAGCCUUAGCAUGGGCAGAACCUACAGAAGAUGCAAGUGCCCUCUGAGCCAGGAGACAGGAGGAAGGAGGAAGGGAAAGGUGACUUAGCUCAUCUCAAUCCUCUCUCUUUUGCAUACAUUUGUCAAUCAGAUGUAUUCAGCCUACCAGUCACACAACUGAGGCUGAUACAUGACAACAUAGCACUGGUACAUUCUUGGUAUUGUUUGGCUUAGCAGUUACUAGUAUAUAUUUAAUGGGAGAAUAUUUGGUGGUGUUAACACAUUGCUUAUCUCCCUUUCCCCAGUUGUACUUUACACUUGUUCUUGGCACACAUUCUCCUCCAGGACUGGAGCAUUCACAGGGUUUUAUGUUACUGUUCUUAUGGGAGUAAAAAGAAAAACGAUUCACAUUCUUGCGACUGAACUAGGCUGGGAUGCCCUGGGCCAAGUUGAAAAUGUGAAAAAUAAGAGUAUGAAUAUUUAUUAAGUUUUAUCUGGAUCUAAGAUACUUAUCCAUGAACCAGUCCUGCAGCUGUGCCCAGCCUGCUCCAUUCCCUGAUGAUUUGCUUGUUCCCAGAGCACAACCCCCUGUUCUGAAGACUUCUUAAUAGGCUGGUCACACCCUGUGCAGGCAUCAGUCCCAGUCAGGACACAGCAUGGACAUGAGGGUUCCUGCUCAGCUCCUGGGGCUCCUGGUGCUCUGGCUCCCAGGAAGUCCAUAUGCGAAGAUGCUGAUGCUAUCAGUUGUUGCAGCACCUCACCAGGGACAUGGAUGAAGCUGGAAGCCAUCAUUCUCAGCAAACUAACACAAGAACGCAGAACCAAACACCACAUGUUCUCACUCAUAAGUGGGAGUUGAUCAGUGAGAACAAAUGGACACAGGGAGGAGAAUGUUAUACCCCAGGGCCUGUUGGGGGGUGGGGGACUAGGGGAACAGUAGCAUUGGGAGAAAUACCUAAUGUAGAUGACAAGUUGAUGUGUGUGUAGCAAACCACCAUGGCAUGUGUACACCUAUGUAACAAACCUGCACGUUCUGCCCAUGUAUCCCAGAACUUAAAGUAUAAUAAAACAUUUUUUUAUAAAAAGGGUUUUAUUGUUCAUGUUAAUUGAUCACCAUUAAUAGGAUAUGUUGACAUUUUGUAAUUCUUGCUGUGCACUGAGGUUGCACCCCAUUUUUUUGUUUUUUUUUGCUAAAAAUAAAAGAUAUGAAUCUAAUCAGUAGAAGACUUCAAACAAGUGCAACUUAAGGGAUUCUCCAAAAUAACUUGCCAGUACACUUCAAAGGUUUCAAAAUCAUGAAAGACAAAACUAAAAAACUGUCACAAUUUGGGAAAUAUUAAGGACACAAUAAUUAAAUGCAGUAUGGGAUUUUGGAUUUUUUUCUGGAACAUGAAGGAGA